AGAGUUUGAUCAUGGCUCAGGAUGAACGCUAGCGGCAGGCUUAACACAUGCAAGUCGAGGGGUAUAGGUUUUCGGACCUAGAGACCGGCGCACGGGUGCGUAACGCGUAUGCAAUCUACCUUUUACAGAGGGAUAGCCCAGAGAAAUUUGGAUUAAUACCUCAUAGUAUUACGACUCGGCAUCGAGAUGUAAUUAAAGUCACAACGGUAAAAGAUGAGCAUGCGUCCCAUUAGCUAGUUGGUAAGGUAACGGCUUACCAAGGCAACGAUGGGUAGGGGUCCUGAGAGGGAGAUCCCCCACACUGGUACUGAGACACGGACCAGACUCCUACGGGAGGCAGCAGUGAGGAAUAUUGGUCAAUGGGCGCAAGCCUGAACCAGCCAUGCCGCGUGCAGGAUGACGGUCCUAUGGAUUGUAAACUGCUUUUGCACAGGAAGAAACACUCGGACGUGUCCGAGCUUGACGGUACUGUGAGAAUAAGGAUCGGCUAACUCCGUGCCAGCAGCCGCGGUAAUACGGAGGAUCCAAGCGUUAUCCGGAAUCAUUGGGUUUAAAGGGUCCGUAGGCGGUUUUGUAAGUCAGUGGUGAAAGCCCAUCGCUCAACGGUGGAACGGCCAUUGAAACUGCAAGACUUGAAUUAUUAGGAAGUAACUAGAAUAUGUAGUGUAGCGGUGAAAUGCUUAGAGAUUACAUGGAAUACCAAUUGCGAAGGCAGGUUACUACUAAUGGAUUGACGCUGAUGGACGAAAGCGUGGGUAGCGAACAGGAUUAGAUACCCUAGUAGUCC
rnacentral:rRNA from 1 species